rnacentral:tRNA from 1 species
GCGCCUGUAGCUCAGAUGGAUAGAGCGUCGGACUUCGAAUCCGCAGGUCGGGCGUUCGAGUCGCCCCAGGCGCG